GGGUUGUGAGGUUAAGCGAACAAGCGUACACGGUGGAUGCCCUGGCAGUCAGAGGCGAUGAAGGACGUGCUAAUCUGCGAAAAGCGCCGGUAAGGUGAUAUGAACCGUUAUAACCGGCGAUGUCCGAAUGGGGAAACCCGGUGCACUUCGGUGCAUCAUCGUUAGCUGAAUACAUAGGCUAACGAAGCGAACCGGGGGAACUGAAACAUCUAAGUACCCCGAGGAAAAGAAAUCAACCGAGAUUCCCCCAGUAGCGGCGAGCGAACGGGGAACAGCCCAGAGCCUGAAUCAGCUUGUGUGUCAGUGGAACGGUCUGGAAAGGCCGGCGAUACAGGGUGACAGCCCCGUACACGAAGGCACACAGGCUGUGAGCUCGAUGAGUAGGGCGGGACACGUGAUAUCCUGUCUGAAGAUGGGGGGACCAUCCUCCAAGGCUAAAUACUCCUGACUGACCGAUAGUGAACCAGUACCGUGAGGGAAAGGCGAAAAGAACCCCGGCGAGGGGAGUGAAACAGAACCUGAAACCGUGUACGUACAAGCAGUGGGAGCCUUCGUAAGAGGGUGACUGCGUACCUUUUGUAUAAUGGGUCAGCGACUUAUAUUCUGUAGCAAGGUUAACCGUAUAGGGGAGCCGAAGGGAAACCGAGUCUUAACCGGGCGUUAAGUUGCAGGGUAUAGACCCGAAACCCGGUGAUCUAGCCAUGGGCAGGUUGAAGGUUGGGUAACACUAACUGGAGGACCGAACCGACUAAUGUUGAAAAAUUAGCGGAUGACCUGUGGCUGGGGGUGAAAGGCCAAUCAAACCGGGAGAUAGCUGGUUCUCCCCGAAAGCUAUUUAGGUAGCGCCUCGUGAACUCAUCUCCGGGGGUAGAGCACUGUUUCGGCUAGGGGGCCAUCCCGGCUUACCAACCCGAUGCAAACUGCGAAUACCGGAGAAUGUUAUCACGGGAGACACACGGCGGGUGCUAACGUCCGUCGUGAAGAGGGAAACAACCCAGACCGCCAGCUAAGGUCCCAAAGUCAUGGUUAAGUGGGAAACGAUGUGGGAAGGCCCAGACAGCCAGGAUGUUGGCUUAGAAGCAGCCAUCAUUUAAAGAAAGCGUAAUAGCUCACUGGUCGAGUCGGCCUGCGCGGAAGAUGUAACGGGGCUAAACCAUGCACCGAAGCUGCGGCAGCGACACGUAUGUGUUGUUGGGUAGGGGAGCGUUCUGUAAGCCUGUGAAGGUGUGCUGUGAGGCAUGCUGGAGGUAUCAGAAGUGCGAAUGCUGACAUAAGUAACGAUAAAGCGGGUGAAAAGCCCGCUCGCCGGAAGACCAAGGGUUCCUGUCCAACGUUAAUCGGGGCAGGGUGAGUCGACCCCUAAGGCGAGGCCGAAAGGCGUAGUCGAUGGGAAACAGGUUAAUAUUCCUGUACUUGGUGUUACUGCGAAGGGGGGACGGAGAAGGCUAUGUCGGCCGGGCGACGGUUGUCCCGGUUUAAGCGUGUAGGCUGACUUUCCAGGCAAAUCCGGAAGGUUAAGGCUGAGGCGUGAUGACGAGGCACCACGGUGCUGAAGUGACAAAUGCCCUGCUUCCAGGAAAAGCCUCUAAGCAUCAGGUAACAUCAAAUCGUACCCCAAACCGACACAGGUGGUCAGGUAGAGAAUACCAAGGCGCUUGAGAGAACUCGGGUGAAGGAACUAGGCAAAAUGGUGCCGUAACUUCGGGAGAAGGCACGCUGACAUGUAGGUGAAGCCCCUGCGGGUGGAGCUGAAGUCAGUCGAAGAUACCAGCUGGCUGCAACUGUUUAUUAAAAACACAGCACUGUGCAAACACGAAAGUGGACGUAUACGGUGUGACGCCUGCCCGGUGCCGGAAGGUUAAUUGAUGGGGUUAUCGCAAGAGAAGCUCCUGAUCGAAGCCCCGGUAAACGGCGGCCGUAACUAUAACGGUCCUAAGGUAGCGAAAUUCCUUGUCGGGUAAGUUCCGACCUGCACGAAUGGCGUAAUGAUGGCCAGGCUGUCUCCACCCGAGACUCAGUGAAAUUGAACUCGCUGUGAAGAUGCAGUGUACCCGCGGCAAGACGGAAAGACCCCGUGAACCUUUACUACAGCUUGACACUGAACAUUGAGCCUUGAUGUGUAGGAUAGGUGGGAGGCUUUGAAGCGUGGACGCCAGUCUGCGUGGAGCCGACCUUGAAAUACCACCCUUUAAUGUUUGAUGUUCUAACCUGGCGCCGUGAUCCGGCGUGGGGACAGUGUCUGGUGGGUAGUUUGACUGGGGCGGUCUCCUCCCAAAGUGUAACGGAGGAGCACGAAGGUCAGCUAAUCCUGGUCGGACAUCAGGAGGUUAGUGCAAUGGCAUAAGCUGGCUUGACUGCGAGAGUGACGGCUCGAGCAGGUGCGAAAGCAGGUCAUAGUGAUCCGGUGGUUCUGUAUGGAAGGGCCAUCGCUCAACGGAUAAAAGGUACUCCGGGGAUAACAGGCUGAUACCGCCCAAGAGUUCAUAUCGACGGCGGUGUUUGGCACCUCGAUGUCGGCUCAUCACAUCCUGGGGCUGAAGUAGGUCCCAAGGGUAUGGCUGUUCGCCAUUUAAAGUGGUACGCGAGCUGGGUUUAGAACGUCGUGAGACAGUUCGGUCCCUAUCUGCCGUGGGCGCUGGAGAAUUGAGGGGGGCUGCUCCCAGUACGAGAGGACCGGAGUGGACGCAUCACUGGUGUUCGGGUUGUCAUGCCAAUGGCACUGCCCGGUAGCUAAAUGCGGAAGAGAUAAGUGCUGAAAGCAUCUAAGCACGAAACUUGCCCCGAGAUGAGUUCUCCCUGAGACUGUAAGUCUCCUGAAGGAACGUUGAAGACGACGACGUUGAUAGGCCGGGUGUGUAAGCGCAGCGAUGCGUUGAGCUAACCGGUACUAAUGAACCGUGAGGCUUAACCUUACAACGCCAAAGAAGU
rnacentral:rRNA from 1 species